UGAUUAACUAAUGUGCAUGUCCAAUAUCCUUCACAAGACCAGGCUAAUGGUAACUAUCAAUGAUUAACUAAUGUGCAAGCUAGCUUUAUAUUUUUACUGAGAUACCAAAAAUGCAGGUUGUUGAUUAAAUUUGACACUUCGCGGGCACCAGAGUUUGACAUGUAGUUUGCAAUGAAUUGUGGGUCAUAUCAACCCAUCAAGUGACCAAAGUUGUUCACUCGCUCCUUCAAGCUAAAUCGAGGGCUGAGGGGGCAACGUUGGGAUUUGGACCUUCUUAAAAUGGUAAUCAAACUGCAUCCGGUUUCGAUGGGGAUACCACGAGGGAAAAACAACGUGUUUGGACUGCAGCAAUUUCUUUUCUAUGUUAGAACGGCCACUUGAAUAUCUGGUCAAAUAAUGGCUAAUGUGUAAGAAAUCAGUGAAGGAAUGUGAACACUUCGGGAGAAAGGAGAGAAUUAGGUCAUAGUUACAGAUUCCUAAACAUGCUUGUAUGAACUGCCUUAAUUUUGCUGGACCCCGGGAAGAGUAGCUGCUGCGUUGGCAGCGAAUGGGGAUCCAUAAUAAAUACUGUAAUGAAACAAGCAAGGAGCAGGUCUGGAACACUCGACAUUCUAGCCCGAAGUCAAGCGCGCUAUCGACUGUGCAGCAAAAGCAUGCUCUAGCGGUAUUUUGUCGGUAUCCGUGCUUAUAAACCCAGUGUGGUUACAAUACAAAUAUAGUUGUUGACAACUUUUAAAAAAGGUUUUUACUUUAGUUAAUUAGGCAAGUCAGUUAAGAAGAAAUUAUUAUUUUGAAUGACGGCCUAUAAACAGUGGGUUAAAUGCCUUGUUCAGGAACAGAACGACAUAUGUUUAUCUGGUCAGCUCGGGGAUUCGGUUACUGACCCAACACUCUAACCUCUAGGCUACCUGCCGCUCCAAACAGAACACAGCAAUGUAGAGGUUCAAAUAUGAUGAAAACUAGGCCUAGACAUUUUAUACAACACAGUGGGCAUAUAAUGUUAAAAUCAGACUUACCCGAUCCAUUGUGGAGGCCACUGUUUCUUUGUAUGAUAAGAACUGUUCGACCCUAACUGUUCUCGUCAACAAUGUCCUGUUGUCUUGUUCUUCUUUAAGGUUUUAUGGCAGACUACACCUAUUGCCUUAUUGCUGCCACCUACUGGCGGGUGAACGAAGAAUAAAAAUAUCCAUCCAAAUCGUUUAUAUUGUAGGUGAAGAAUUCAUGCAGGACUUCUCUCCAUAAUAGUGUCAAAUCUUCAUGAAUAUGUUCCAUUAUAAAUCUACUGAUGUCUUGCCACAGAUUAUUUACAUGAAUACCAUAAAAAAAAGAUGCAACACAGUUUAAAAUCAAAUCAAAUUUUAUUUGUCACAUACACAUGGUUAGCAGAUGUUAAUGCGAGUGUAGCGAAAUGCUUGUGCUUCUAGUUCCGACAAUGCAGUGAUAACAAUUGGAACAAUUUAAAUGUAUCUAUUUUUUUGUACUUCUUCAUAUAGUGGUUGGCAGGGUAAUAUGAAUGAAUAAUUUAUAAUAAACUUCCUUAUUAAUUGUGUUAGUCAGUACGUAUGUGUGAGACAACAUAUAUAAUGAAUAAAACAAUUCCAAUAAGGCAUGACAUAAGGUAUAUAGAGAGAUACAAAAUCCUGUUGAUACAAGGCAAGUAUCGCUCUGUUGUUGAAUGGACUAAAACAAAAACAAAUCUUUACUGCUGUAAACCACCAAAAGUAGAAAAGGUAUGAUGAUGACUAAAGUUUCACAUAGAAGUGGGUCUUCUUAGGAAGUGUUUUAUCAAAUUGAUCUUAAAAGUAUUAUUUAAGGUAGGAAUGUCCAGACAAUUCAGCCCACCAUACUCAUGUGUUCAAUGCAACAGUUUCCUAAUGUGAUGGGUUCGGUUUCUCCACAGAAAGUUAAAAAACAUCUGGUCUGUUGAAAGGGUUCUACAUGAAACCCUAAAGAGUUCUACCUGGAACCAAAGAGGUUCUAUCUGCAACCGAAAAGGGUUCUUCUAUGGGGACAGCUGAAGAACCCUUUAAGGUUCUAGAUAGCGCCUUUUUUCCAAAGAGUGUAGUGUUGUUAUGCCCACUCCUCGACAACACUUCAACCGUCCAAAUAAAUUGUCAUGGAGCAUCACCAUGGCGAUGAUGAUUUGUGAGACAUCAUUGCAAAGACAAUCCACAAUAGUGACUUAAUGACAUUUGGAGUCCCUGACAUUAUUUUUUUAGCUUCUAACUAUGGCUGCAUCUGAAAUGUCACCUGACAGUAUGUAGGUAAUAGGAUGCCAUUUCAGACACACUAUGUGUCUAUUCUAGUCUGAUGGAUGGAUGUGGUAAUAGAUUGGUCUAUUAACAUGGUAAUCUGUCUAGAUACAAUUAUCACUUACCUGAUUGGUUAAUCCUGUGACCUCUUAACUUUAAUACGUUCUCGCCUCAAACAUGCAACUGUGUUGUACUACCAUGUAUUUGAUUAGUAAAGUUUCCCAAAUGAGCUGCUCCCUCCUGUCCAGUUAUUAUUAGUUAUUCUAUAGGUGAUAAAACCUCAAAUACUACAGAUGGAAUGUGAUGAUUGACACUGUGUACAUUUAUUGCUAGGCCUCUUAAAUAAAGCUGAUUACAUUGUGAUAUUUAAUACAUGGAGAGUACUUCGUCUGGGCUAGAGUUGAUUGAUUGAUUGAUUGACUAACUCUGACUAACAACAUUCAGGUCAUGUCCUUUGCAGAUGCCACAUUCCUGACAAAAGUUUGUAAGUAUAACAAAUAUCUGUAACCGAGUAAAAGGACAGUUAAAGUAAGAAUUCAACAUGUAAAUGUUAAUUCAGAGCCGUAACAUACGUUUACAGAUCGAAUUUAACAGUUAUGUUUCCUGCAUUACUUUUCUUACAAUCUUAACAGUUUACGUUUGGAUUUUCUUACUCUAAAAAUGUGUGGUUUAACAAGGGUUCUUCUAAGAUCCUUAAAGUUCUUCAAAGAACCUUAGGGUUCUUGGCACUCAAAAUGCCCCCCAAAAGGUUCUUCCAAGAACCCCAUAGGAGGUGGGGUUCAUCGAGAAACCUCUUUAGUUGGUGGGGGUUCUUGGAGGGUCUUAUUUGCCCAACUGAAACACUUGGAUUUGAAUUUGAAAGGACAGAAGGUGCAGGGACUUAACUGACAAAUGUAAAGAUCUCAAUGUAAGGUAAACAAGGAGGCAAACAAAGGUAUGUCAAUUGGUAUUGGUGUUAUGCAGAUCACAAUUACCAUCCUCCUCCCUUACAUCUUCAAUGGAUAUCCCAUAGGCCUCUACAUUAUGGACACGACUUCUCACUCCCUACACUUCUGAUGAGUAAAACAGGAAACCUGUUAGAUGACCAUCCACUGUGAAAUCAUUCUAUAGAUACAGAGAACAUCAACACAUUAACAUCAACAGGACAGAGGAAAACCCAUUGGACUUGGGACUCUGCUGGGAGUUUUCCUCAUAUUUACAAUGUUUUUCUGCUAUGUCAAUAA